UUGAUCCUGGCUCAGAAUCAACGCUGGCGGCGCGCCUAACACAUGCAAGUCGAACGAGAAAGCAGGAGCAAUCUUGUGAGUAAAGUGGCGUACGGGUGAUUAACACGUGGAUCAUCUACCCUCUUGUGGGGGAUAACUCUGGGAAACCGUAGCUAAUACCGCAUAAGUCCGAGAGGAGAAAGCAGCAAUGCGCAGGAGGUGGAGUCCGCGGCCGAUUAGCUAGUUGGUAGGGUAAAAGCCUACCAAGGCUACGAUCGGUAGCCGGCCUGAGAGGGCACACGGCCACACUGGCACUGAAAUACGGGCCAGACUCCUACGGGAGGCAGCAGUGGGGAAUCUUGCACAAUGGUGGCAACCCUGAUGCAGCGACGCCGCGUGAGCGAUGAAGCCCUUCGGGGUUUAAAGCUCUUUCGGCAGGGAAGAUUAUGACGGUACCUGCAGAAGCAGCUUCGGCUAACUACGUGCCAGCAGCCGCGGUAAUU
rnacentral:rRNA from 1 species